rnacentral:lncRNA from 1 species
AGAGUGGUGUAAAAAAAUAGGAAAUGGGGGUUCAGAAACAAGAAAUGUCACAUACAGGCAGAAGCAAAAGAAAAGGCUUUUUGGAUCCUGUUCUGUUUAAACUGAGUCUUUCAAGGAUGGCAGGACUUGGAGAUGUAGACAUGGAGAAGAAGGUGUUCAGGACACAAAGAACAAGAGCUGGGACAACACGUGGGCUGGAAAAGGAUGGAAUAGGUAUGGAGUUGACACAUUUAAUGGAGAGACUGCUCCAUUUGCCCCAUCAGAGGUAUCCAGUGGCAGACAUACCUUCCAGUAAACUUGGAGGUGAUAUUAGAAGAAGCUUCCAGCACCUCUGCUGAGCAAGACAGGUUUGGCUCCUUGCAGAAUGUUCUGGUAAUAAUCUGCUGAUUUCAUGAAGGAAUUUGCAAGUUUAAUUUUAAAGAUCUGGAAUAUUUUAAACAGCACUGGAACUUGUUGUUCAGUUCUGAGUCAUGUCUGACUCUUUGGCCCCAUGAACUGCAGCACUCAGGCUUCCCUGUUCCUUCACUGUCUCCUGGAGUUUGCUCAGAUUCAUGUCAAUUGAAUCAGUGAUGCUAUCUAACCAAUUUAUCCUCUGCUGCCCUCUUCUCCUUUUGCCUUCAAACUUUCCUAGCAUCAGGGUUGGAAUUAUUUGUCUUCAAAAACUUGUUAGAAUCCUUUUUUGAAACUCUUAGCCUAGAACUGUGUGUGUUUGUGUGUGUGUGUGUGUGUGUGUGUGUGUGUGUGUGUGUGUGUGUGAUUAGGGAGAGUGGAGUAAACGGUGACUUCUGGAAUUACAAGUUGCAAGACAGGUUGGAUAGCAGUGCCUUUGCCUGAGAUAGGGAACUCUGGAAGAAAGCCCAGACUGAGUGAAAAUCGCAUGGAUUUAACUUUAGAGAAAUGACGAUUCUGCAGAUUUUGGCUUGGAAGGAGGGUAAGAGUGGCAGGGUACUUGACUAGAAGAUUCCUAUAGAAGUGAAGUGAAGUGAAGUGAAAGGCACUCAGUCAUGUCUGACUCUUUGUGACCCCAUGGACUUUACAGUCUGUGGAAUUCUCCAGGCCAGAAUACUGGAGUGGGUAGCCUUUUUCUUCUCCAGGGCAUCUUUUCAACCCAGGGAUCGAACCCAGGUCUCCCGCAUCGCUGGCAGAUUCUUUACCAACUGAGCCCCAAGGGAAGCCCGAAGACUCCUAUAGAAGCUGUGUUUAAAUAUUGCAUGAGUUUGCUAGGACUGCUGUAAAAAGUACCACACGCUGGGUGGUUUAAACAACAGAAGUUUACUAUCUUACAUUUGUGGAGGCUACAAGUUCAGAACCAAGGUGUCAGCAGUGUUAGUUCAUUCUGCGGGAAAACCUCCCGUCCCUUCUCCUG